rnacentral:rRNA from 1 species
CCCCACACUGGUACUGAGACACGGACCAGACUCCUACGGGAGGCAGCAGUGAGGAAUAUUGGUCAAUGGGCGGAAGCCUGAACCAGCCAAGUCGCGUGAGGGAAGACGGUCCUAUGGAUUGUAAACCUCUUUUGCAGGGGAGCAAGGCGCGGUACGUGUACCGCGAAGGAGAGUACCCUGAGAAAAAGCAUCGGCUAACUCCGUGCCAGCAGCCGCGGUAAUACGGAGGAUGCGAGCGUUAUCCGGAUUUAUUGGGUUUAAAGGGUGCGCAGGCGGACUGUUAAGUCAGCGGUAAAAUGUCGGUGCUCAACACCGGCCGGCCGUUGAAACUGGCAGCCUUGAGUGAGCGAGAAGUAUGCGGAAUGCGUGGUGUAGCGGUGAAAUGCAUAGAUAUCACGCAGAACUCCGAUUGCGAAGGCAGCAUACCGGCGCUCAACUGACGCUCAGGCACGAAAGCGUGGGUAUCGAACAGGCUUAGAUACCCUGGUAGUCCACGCAGUAAACGAUGAAUGCUCACUGUCCGGGCCGUUUAAGGCCUGG